GACGAACGCUGGCGGCGUGCUUAACACAUGCAAGUCGAACGGAAAGGCCCUGCUUUUGUGGGGUGCUCGAGUGGCGAACGGGUGAGUAACACGUGAGUAACCUGCCCUUGACUUUGGGAUAACUUCAGGAAACUGGGGCUAAUACCGGAUAGGAGCUCCUGCUGCAUGGUGGGGUUGGAAAGUUUCGGCGGUUGGGGAUGGACUCGCGGCUUAUCAGCUUGUUGGUGGGGUAGUGGCUUACCAAGGCUUUGACGGGUAGCCGGCCUGAGGGGGUGACCGGCCACAUUGGGACUGAGAUACGGCCCAGACUCCUACGGGAGGCAGCAGUGGGGAAUAUUGCACAAUGGGCGGAAGCCUGAUGCAGCAACGCCGCGUGCGGGAUGACGGCCUUCGGGUUGUAAACCGCUUUCGCCUGUGACGAAGCGUGAGUGACGGUAAUGGGUAAAGAAGCACCGGCUAACUACGUG
rnacentral:rRNA from 1 species